AAUAAAUGUGCGCAGGUCUUCUAAAUCUGCUUUGGGGGAACCCGUUUGUUU
rnacentral:tRNA from 1 species